rnacentral:lncRNA from 1 species
AUGCUUCCAGCAACAGAGACGUGUAAAAUAGGUCUACCUCAAUUUCUUGAUGCUGCUGCUUCUGUUUGUUUAGAAGCAAAAGGUUACGAGCGGUGUUUUGUAGAAGUGGAGGAGGUCCCGGCAGACAUUUCGGGUUUCGCAAGGAGCGCGGUUUCCUGACAGACGAGCGCGCAGGGAGCAGGCAGCGGGGGGAAAUCCUGCCGCCGCCCCACGGCGCCCGGGCGGCCCGGCUCGGCGGACGGGCAUGGAUGCACUAAUGGACGGAUGGAGGAUGAGCGCUGCCGGCGAGCAGGUGAGACCUGCCAAUCCCUUGCCUUCACUGAAAAUCUGGGAUUUUGCUGUUUGUGCCGGUUAAACCUCUAUUCCUGUACCUCACACUAGCUUAAAAGAUAAAAAAUAAAAUUCUGUUCAUCACUGAAUAACCUCUUUCA